AUCACGGGAGACACACGGCGGGUGCUAACGUCCGUCGUGAAGAGGGAAACAACCCAGACCGCCAGCUAAGGUCCCAAAGUCAUGGUUAAGUGGGAAACGAUGUGGGAAGGCCCAGACAGCCAGGAUGUUGGCUUAGAAGCAGCCAUCAUUUAAAGAAAGCGUAAUAGCUCACUGGUCGAGUCGGCCUGCGCGGAAGAUGUAACGGGGCUAAACCAUGCACCGAAGCUGCGGCAGCGAACGUAUCACCCAAGACAACUUUACGGAGUUGACGAUUGACGGAGCGAAGCGACGUCAAAGCGUUCAUUAAAGUCGAGUUGGCUUAGGGAUACGUUCGUUGGGUAGGGGAGCGUUCUGUAAGCCUGUGAAGGUGUGUCGUGAGGCAUGCUGGAGGUAUCAGAAGUGCGAAUGCUGACAUAAGUAACGAUAAAGCGGGUGAAAAGCCCGCUCGCCGGAAGACCAAGGGUUCCUGUCCAACGUUAAUCGGGGCAGGGUGAGUCGACCCCUAAGGCGAGGCCGAAAGGCGUAGUCGAUGGGAAACGGGUUAAUAUUCCCGUACUUGGUGUUACUGCGAAGGGGGGACGGAGAAGGCUAUGUUGGCCGGGCGACGGUUGUCCCGGUUUAAGCGUGUAGGUGUGUGUUCCAGGUAAAUCCGGUUCACUUUAACACUGAGGCGUGACGACGAGGCACUACGGUGCUGAAGCAACAAAUGCCCUGCUUCCAGGAAAAGCCUCUAAGCAUCAGGUAACACGAAAUCGUACCCCAAACCGACACAGGUGGUCAGGUAGAGAAUACCAAGGCGCUUGAGAGAACUCGGGUGAAGGAACUAGGCAAAAUGGUGCCGUAACUUCGGGAGAAGGCACGCUGACACGUAGGUGAAGUGAUUUACUCAUGGAGCUGAAGUCAGUCGAAGAUACCAGCUGGCUGCAACUGUUUAUUAAAAACACAGCACUGUGCAAACACGAAAGUGGACGUAUACGGUGUGACGCCUGCCCGGUGCCGGAAGGUUAAUUGAUGGGGUCAGCGCAAGCGAAGCUCCUGAUCGAAGCCCCGGUAAACGGCGGCCGUAACUAUAACGGUCCUAAGGUAGCGAAAUUCCUUGUCGGGUAAGUUCCGACCUGCACGAAUGGCGUAAUGAUGGCCAGGCUGUCUCCACCCGAGACUCAGUGAAAUUGAACUCGCUGUGAAGAUGCAGUGUACCCGCGGCAAGACGGAAAGACCCCGUGAACCUUUACUAUAGCUUGACACUGAACAUUGAGCCUUGAUGUGUAGGAUAACGUUGGCGGCUGUGAAGAUAGGAAGAAAGUCUGUAUGGAGCCGACCUUUAAAUACCACGCUUAAAUGUUUGAUGUUCUAACGUGGACCCGUAAUCCGGGUUGCGGACAGUGUCUGGUUGGUAGUUUGACUGGGGCGGUCUCCUCCUAAAGAGUAACGGAGGA
rnacentral:rRNA from 1 species